GGGCCCGCACAAGCGGUGGAGCAUGUGGUUUAAUUCGAUGAUACGCGAGGAACCUUACCAGGGCUUAAAUGUUAGGUGACAGAUCUAGAAAUAGAUUUUUCUUCGGACACUUAACAAGGUGCUGCAUGGUUGUCGUCAGCUCGUGCCGUGAGGUGUCAGGUUAAGUCCUAUAACGAGCGCAACCCCUGUUGUUAGUUGCCAGCGAGUAAUGUCGGGAACUCUAGCAAGACUGCCAGUGCAAACUGUGAGGAAGGUGGGGAUGACGUCAAAUCAUCACGGCCCUUACGUCCUGGGCUACACACGUGCUACAAUGGUAGGUACAGAGAGCAGCCAAUGCGCGAGCAUGAGCGAAUCUACAAAACCUAUCUCAGUUCGGAUCGGGGUCUGCAACUCGGCCCCGUGAAGCUGGAAUCGCUAGUAAUCGGAUAU
rnacentral:rRNA from 1 species